rnacentral:lncRNA from 1 species
CUGGCCAUCUAGAGAGAUUAUGUUUUGUAUUAGGUUAUUUGUUGAUCCGAGUUCACCCAUACCGACUAGGUUGAUCUGACAUGAAAUGUGCUGAUCUAAACCAGAUUAGUCAUUACAUCAGAUGUAUGUGACUAAUUAGAAAAGAUCUAAACCCAAAUCUCCUCACUGAAUAUUAAGUCUACUGAUCUUCCACCAUUGUAGAGAUGCGGGUGCCUUUUCUGACAUUGAUCAUUCUCAACUGGUUACAGUGGUUUGGUUGCAUCGAAAAGGCACACCCACUCUAUUAGCAUCAGAUGUCCUAAGGUAAAAAUGGGGUUGAACCCA